rnacentral:rRNA from 1 species
GGCCUAACACAUGCCAAGUCGAGCGGUUGACGGGAGCUUGCUCCCUGAUUCAGCGGCGGACGGGUGAGUAAUGCCUAGGAAUCUGCCUAUUAGUGGGGGACAACGUUUCGAAAGGAACGCUAAUACCGCAUACGUCCUACGGGAGAAAGCAGGGGACCUUCGGGCCUUGCGCUAAUAGAUGAGCCUAGGUCGGAUUAGCUAGUUGGUGGGGUAAAGGCUCACCAAGGCGACGAUCCGUAACUGGUCUGAGAGGAUGAUCAGUCACACUUGAACUGGAACACGGUCCAGACUCCUACGGGAGGCAGCAGUGGGGAAUAUUGGACAAUGGGCGAAAGCCUGAUCCAGCCUUUCCGCGUGUGUGAAGAAGGUCUUCGGAUUGUAAAGCU